GACAAACGCUGGCGGCGUGCUUAACACAUGCAAGUCGAACGGAAAGGCCCUGCUUUUGUGGGGUGCUCGAGUGGCGAACGGGUGAGUAACACGUGAGUAACCUGCCCUUGACUUUGGGAUAACUUCAGGAAACUGGGGCUAAUACCGGAUAGGAGCUCCUGCUGCAUGGUGGGGGUUGGAAAGUUUCGGCGGUUGGGGAUGGACUCGCGGCUUAUCAGCUUGUUGGUGGGGUAGUGGCUUACCAAGGCUUUGACGGGUAGCCGGCCUGAGAGGGUGACCGGCCACAUUGGGACUGAGAUACGGCCCAGACUCCUACGGGAGGCAGCAGUGGGGAAUAUUGCACAAUGGGCGGAAGCCUGAGGCAGCAACGCCGCGUGCGGGAUGACGGCCUUCGGGUUGUAAACCGCUUUCGCCUGUGACGAAGCGUGAGUGACGGUAAUGGGUAAAGAAGCACCGGCUAACUACGUG
rnacentral:rRNA from 1 species